rnacentral:ribozyme from 1 species
UAGUUCGUUUUCUGUUCGUUUUUUGAAUUUAUAAGGAAUUAUGGGGGAAGAAUCUUCCAAUUCUGCUGCUUUUGUUGUUCCUAAGAUCAACGACCAUCCAGAUGGUUGGGGCCCACCCGCUGGUGCUCACCAAUUCGGGACUGUCCCUUACGCUCCUUACUACAAGGGAGAGAAGUUGGGAAGAAUUAGCGAUUGGACUGGAUCUUCCAUGUACCGCAACAACCAACGUUAUCGCCAACAAAAUC